rnacentral:rRNA from 1 species
CGCCUUGCCAGCCCGCUCAGAACUUAAAGGAAUUGACGGGGCCGCACAAGCGUGGAGCAUGUGGUUUAAUUCGAUGAUACGCGAGGAACCUUACCUGGGCUCAAAUGUAUGUUGACGUAUUCUGAAAGGGAUACUUCUUCGGACAAUAUACAAGGUGCUGCAUGGUUGUCGUCAGCUCGUGCCGUGAGGUGUCGGGUUAAGUCCCAUAACGAGCGCAACCCCUAUUGCUAGUUACCAUCAUUAAGUUGGGGACUCUAGCGAGACUGCCAGUGAUAAACUGGAGGAAGGUGGGGAUGACGUCAAAUCAUCAUGCCCCUUAUGACCUGGGCUACAAACGUGAUACAAUGGCUGGAACAAAGGGAUGCGAAGCAGUGAUGUGGAGCGAAACCCAUAAAAACAGUCUCAGUUCGGAUUGAAGUCUGCAACUCGACUUCAUGAAGUCGGAAUCGCUAGUAAUCGCGGAUCAGAACGCCGCGGUGAAUACGUUCUCGGGGUUU